UCUCGUACGCUGCUGGUGGAGCCAGUGUUGUCUUAAUUCGUUUACACUCACAGAGCAGCCGGUGACUCAGAGGGGAAGAAUCUGGAAUCCACUCCCAUUAGCCCAUGCACUGGCCAGCGUGAUCCCACUUUGCUACAACAGCUUCAUCGGUGGCUCUGAUUACUGGCAGCGCUCGCCUGGCUCCUGCCCACGGUUGCAGUGUGCUGACGUAGCCCUGACCUCAAGUGGCCCUGGUGAAAACCUGCGAGUCAAGGCCUGCAGGGAAUCUGGGGCAGGACUCUCACCGUCAGCACAGCUGGGAUGCGGGGCUGGGUGGCCCUCUGUUGGGGGGUGGGAGGGCUGUUCUGUUCACUGUACAACCCCAGGCAGCAGCCCCGGCCUCUACCCCCUGCCAGUAGCACCCCCUCCAUCGUGACCACCAAAAAUGCCUCGGGGCAUUGCCAGCUGUUGCCUCGAGGGCAAAUUCACCCGUGGUGAUUUCAAAUCCACCAUGCUCAAUUACGACAGAGUGACCCAGGAUAAAUGAUUUAACCAUAAAAUGCCCGAAUCACUUCUUUUGGAAAAGGAGAUAGUAAUUGCUUUUACUGUUCAUUCUUGUGUUUUGGAUCCAGUGGGUUCUCAUAGGAGGACAUCCCUGUGAUGGCCAAGGGAAUCCCAGAGGUUUCUGUGCUUUGCCCCAGCCCCGUGUUCUAGAUGAGGAACGUUGAGGCUUGGUGGGGUUAAGAGACUUCCUCCAACCCAGGCUCAUAGCUCUUUUUUAGAAGAAAAUCCUUCAGUUGGUUGUGGGAAGAACUAUGAAAACAUUCUCUCCACUGGGGAAAUGAUGAAUGCAGUAAGAACAUUUCCCUGGUUGCGGAAUGCUGACCCCCUGGCCAGACACCCUAUGAAGAGCUUCUCAGGAUCACAUUUGCCUUCAUGGCCAUGCUGUGAUGCAGAUACACAGCAUCUCUGCUUUCCAGGUGAGGACGUGGAGGCUCAGAGAAAGACGUUUACUAAAGGUUUACCUAAAGCUCCAUGAGCAGUGGGGCCGUGAGCCUGUGAUUUAGCCAAAUCAGGCCUAGAGGGGCCUUAUCUACUGGAGGAGUCAUGUGCUACUUCCCCAUGCUUGCUUCAGCAUUAGCACUUGUCCU
rnacentral:lncRNA from 1 species